rnacentral:tRNA from 1 species
CACUACAGAAGCUUAUAAUGGAUAGCACUAGCCUUUUAAUCUAGAGAAAGAGAUUACCCCGUCUCCUUAGUGA